UACCAGCACCCCGAGUGGUCGGGACGUUUUAUUGGGCCUAAAGCAUCCGUAGCCGGUUCUACAAGUCUUCCGUUAAAUCCAACUGCUUAACAGGUGGGCUGCGGAAGAUACUAUAGAGCUAGGAGGCGGGGAGAGGCAAGCGGUACUCGAUGGGUAGGGGUAAAAUCCGUUGAUCCAUUGAAGACCACCAGUGGCGAAGGCGGCUUGCCAGAACGCGCUCGACGGUGAGGGAUGAAAGCUGGGGGAGCAACCGG
rnacentral:rRNA from 1 species